UACGUAGGGUGCGAGCGUUGUCCGGAAUUACUGGGCGUAAAGAGCUCGUAGGUGGUUUGUCGCGUUGUUCGUGAAAACUCACAGCUCAACUGUGGGCGUGCGGGCGAUACGGGCAGACUGGAGUACUGCAGGGGAGACUGGAAUUCCUGGUGUAGCGGUGGAAUGCGCAGAUAUCAGGAGGAACACCGGUGGCGAAGGCGGCCUUCUGGACAGUGACUGACGCUGAGACGCGAAAGCGUGGGGAGCAAACAGG
rnacentral:rRNA from 1 species